GGUGUUAUGGCUCAGGGGUAGAGCUCUCACCCAACAUGUGUGAGGAACUGGGUUCGAUCCUCAGCAACAUAU
rnacentral:tRNA from 1 species